AUUGAACGCUGGCGGCAUGCCUUACACAUGCAAGUCGAACGGCAGCACGGGCUUCGGCCUGGUGGCGAGUGGCGAACGGGUGAGUAAUACAUCGGAACGUGCCCUGUUGUGGGGGGAUAACCAGUCGAAAGAUUGGCUAAUACCGCAUACGACCUGAGGGUGAAAGCGGGGGACCGCAAGGCCUCGCGCAGCAGGAGCGGCCGAUGUCUGAUUAGCUAGUUGGUGGGGUAAAGGCCCACCAAGGCGACGAUCAGUAGCUGGUCUGAGAGGACGAUCAGCCACACUGGGACUGAGAGACGGCCCAGACUCCUACGGGAGGCAGCAGUGGGGAAUUUUGGACAAUGGGGGCAACCCUGAUCCAGCAAUGCCGCGUGUGUGAAGAAGGCCUUCGGGUUGUAAAGCACUUUUGUCCGGAAAGAAAACCUCUGCCCUAAUACGGCGGGGGGAUGACGGUACCGGAAGAAUAAGCACCGGCUAACUACGUGCCAGCAGCCGCAGUAA
rnacentral:rRNA from 1 species